rnacentral:rRNA from 1 species
GAUGAACGCUGGCGGCGUGCCUAAUACAUGCCAGUCGAGCGAACAGACGAGGAGCUUGCUCCUCUGACGUUAGCGGCGGACGGGUGAGUAACACGUGGAUAACCUACCUAUAAGACUGGGAUAACUUCGGGAAACCGGAGCUACUACCGGAUAAUAUAUUGAACCGCAUGGUUCAAUAGUGAAAGACGGUUUUGCUGUCACUUAUAGAUGGAUCCGCGCCGCAUUAGCUAGUUGGUAAGGUAACGGCUUACCAAGGCAACGAUGCGUAGCCGACCUGAGAGGGUGAUCAGCCACACUGGAACUGAGACACGGUCCAGACUCCUACGGGAGGCAGCAGUAGGGAAUCUUCCGCAAUGGGCGAAAGCCUGACGGAGCAACGCCGCGUGAGUGAUGAAGGUCUUCGGAUCGUAAAACUCUGUUAUUAGGGAAGAACAAAUGUGUAAGUAACUAUGCACGUCUUGACGGUACCUAAUCAGAAAGCCACGGCUAACUACGUG